GGAAACGAGCGUCGGCGGCGAAUCUGCUGCUACCAAUGUAAAGGUCAGGCCGAGGCCGGCGCGGAGAAUCUGCUGUCGCCUGCAGCUGCUCGCCUGUCUCCGUCGGAAGGGAGCCCAAGCUUUGCAGAGAGACAGGGAGUCGCCCAGGCUGGAGAGCGGUGGCGCGAUCUCGGCUCACUGCAGCGUCGACAUUUCGGGUCAAGCAGUCCUCCCGCCUCAGCCUCUCAAGUAUCUGGGACCACAGGCGCGACCCCACGCCCGGAGAAUUGAUUAUUGAUUGAUUGAUUGAAACGGGGUCUCACUUUGUUGCCCAGGCUGGUCUCGAAUUUCUGGGCUCAAGCGAUCCUCCAGCCUCGGCCUCUCAAAGUGCUGGUAUUACAGG
rnacentral:lncRNA from 10 species